rnacentral:tRNA from 7 species
GCCCUCAUAGCUCAGUCGGUAGAGCGCGUUCUUGGUAAGAACGAGGUCAUGGGUUCGAAUCCCAUUGAGGGCU